rnacentral:tRNA from 1 species
GGCCAUCUUCUCCACCUGCUAUGUCAACUACAACGAACCCGGCAUCGGCUUCGACCUGCUCAAGGUGCUGG